UCGACAUGUGAAUAAAUCGAAUAAAUCGUUCAAGUUUUGGUCGAAUCUUUGAAAAAAGGGGAAAAAAUAGAAACAAAAGAAAUUAAAACAGAUUUUCCGAGAAGAAAGGAAAAAAACUUCAUAAUUUCAAUCUGCCAAACAAGUGUGGACACAAUCGACAGAAUAAAAGAAUUACUACGACUUAAAAGACAACAGGAAUUUGCAUUUCUGAAAAAGGAAAAACAUGGAAAAUCAUUGUGCGACUUACCGAAUCGAAGACAAUCGUUGAAAACAUCAGGAGAAAAAUCCAGUCCACGUGUUGGUUGAGUUCCUCGGAGUGACCCGGCAACAAUGACAGAAUACAACGCAGUCUUAUGAGAGAGGUCGGAAAUGAAGCAGUAGUCAGUAAAAUACAGAAAAAAAUGUCGAACUUUGAAUUAUUGAUUUCAAGAUAAUAAAGAAAAAGGAAACAAGGAGUUAAGGGUGUUGGUGAAUUAAUUCCUCGGACUUUCAUCAAUCGGAGAAGAAGCAGCACAAUUUUCUAAUAUAGAAACCAUUUGAGAAAGAGAAAACUUUUUGUGAAA